GGACUACUGGGGUUUCUAAUCCUGUUUGCUCCCCACGCUUUCGUGCCUCAGCGUCAGUAACUGUCCAGAAGGCCGCUUUCGCCACUGGUGUUCCUUCCGAUAUCUACGCAUUUCACCGCUACACCGGAAAUUCCGCCUUCCUCUACAGUACUCUAGUAAUACAGUCUUGAAUGCAACCCCCAAGUUAAGCUCGAGUCUUUCACAUCCAACUUAUAUUACCGCCUACGCACCCUUUACGCCCAGUAAUUCCGAUUAACGCUUGCACCCUCUGUAUUACCGCGGCGGCUGGCAC
rnacentral:rRNA from 2 species